rnacentral:lncRNA from 1 species
AGCAUUGAAGGACAUUGGAGAACAAGUCAGACACAAUUCCUGUGAAAGGUCCAUGGAAACUUGAGCUGCUGGAGUCACUUGUGACCAGAUGUGUUUGGGGACCAGAGUAAAAGGUGAAGUGAUACAAGGUUACACUGAAGGCUGCUUGAGAGGUCUUUGUUCUUGUGCUGGUUUCUUAUUUCUAAUUUUUUCUAUUUUUUCUGUCUUUAGGUUAGGAAACUUAAAUGAGAGAGGGACAACUUGCAUAACUGCACUCAAGGGGUUCCAAAUUCAAGAUAAAAUAUAA